rnacentral:lncRNA from 1 species
GCAGCAUGAGCGAGCUCUGCGUAUUCCAACCCGGCGUUAAGAAUCCUUCACUAGCUUUUCUUCCCGACGCUGCUUAUUUAUCUAUCGGUAGCAUGACGGGUAAUUGACGCCCUCGGAUGGCUUUGAGGUCGCCAUUUUUGGUUGGUGCCUUUGUCUUGGUGUCAGGACUGGGAUAUCAUCUGGGACACAUUACCCCACAGGUAUCCUGUUGGACCUCAACGAGGAAGUUGGCAACAGAGGAACCAGGAGAUGAGAGAGAUCGGUUGGUUGUGCCUGUGAACUGGCAAUUCAGUAGUAACAAUUGAGUGCUUACUGUUUGCCGGGAAUUGUGCUAAUCCGCUUACCUCCGUUACGCCAUUUAAUCAUUUAGAGGAGACCUGUGAGAGAUUAAGCAAAGUUCUAGCUAAUAAGUGCAGAGCCUCAGCUUGAACUCAGAACUCACUACUAAGCCAAAGCCUGUCCUGUAGCAUUCUCUAAUGCUUUCAGUUUUUCGGCUGUCAGAUGCUUGUCAGAUACCUACAGCCGCUGAGAGCCGGUAUUCCAACGCCAUGAGACGCCUUCUGUCGUGAGCAGUUGACAAGAAAGACCCAGCACUUACUGCAACCGGAAGGAGCGGUUCCUCCCUCGCUCGCGCAGCCGCUCUUCCCCGCCACUCCCUCGGUGCCCGCCAGCACAUUCCCAGCAAGCCCUGAGUAUAUUUGCAUAUCAACUCACUACAUUUUUUUCUUCUAACUAAAAAAUCGAAAGGACAAAUUCCAGAUUCUCCUUGUGAAGUCUUCCUUUCAGUUCAGAAGAAAUGGAAUUCGCUCUUCAACUUCAGGAAGUUGAAAUAAAGAGUUGCUUGGAUUUUGUGUUCACCUUUACCAAAAAAUGGAUUUGGUAACACUGCCACCCUGCUUUGGUGACAGAGAAAGCAAAAAGGGCUUCUGUCGUGAGUGGCACACGUAGGGCAACUCGAUUGCUCUGCGUGCGGAAUCGACAUCAAGAGAUUUCGGAAGCAUAAUUUUUUGGUAUUUGGGCAGCUGGUGAUCGUUGGUCCCGGCGCCCUUUCUUUACUGUUAUAUGUUAGGCGAAAUAUUACGCGUUUGGAGUAAGUGGUGCUUUUUGUAACUGAAAA